rnacentral:lncRNA from 1 species
GCUAACAUGUUUAACCCCGCCACAUUAUUUAUGUAUGUGCCUGUCCCAAGUCAGGAGCAUGUAAUUCAGUGGUUGUCGUUUGUUUAUGUGUUACAUAUUUUGUUUUUCGUCAUUUUUUUUACAUAAAUAAGGCCGUUAGUUUUCUCGUUUGAAUUGUUUUACAUUGUCUUAUCGGGGCCUUUUAUAGCUGACUAUGAGGUAUGGGCUUUGCUCAUUGUUGAAGGCCGUACAGUGACCUAUAGUUGUUAAUGUCUGUGUCAUUUUGGUCUUUUGUAGAUAGUUGUCUCAUUGGCAAUCAUACCACAUCUUCUUUUUU